AGAGUUUGAUCCUGGUUCAGGAUAAACGCUGGCGGCGUGCCUAACACAUGCAAGUCGAACGAGAAGCUCGUCUCUGAUUCCUUCGGGAUGAUGAGAUAAGCAGAAAGUGGCGAACGGGUGAGUAACGCGUGGGUAAUCUACCCUGUAAGCGGGGGAUAACCCUCCGAAAGGAGGGCUAAUACCGCAUAAUAUCUUCAUCCCAAAAGAGAAGAAGAUGAAAGAUGGCCUCUGUCUUAAGCUAUCACUUCAGGAUGAGCCUGCGUCCUAUUAGUUAGUUGGUGGGGUAAUGGCCUACCAAGACGACAAUGGGUAGCCGGUCUGAGAGGAUGUACGGCCACACUGGGACUGAGAUACGGCCCAGACUCCUACGGGAGGCAGCAGUGGGGAAUAUUGCGCGAUGGGGGAAACCCUGACGCAGCGACGCCGCGUGGAUGAUGAAGGCCUUUGGGUUGUAAAAUCCUGUUUUGGGGGAAGAAUCCUUAAGGGUCCAAUAAACCCUUAAACUGACGGUACCCCAAGAGAAAGCUCCGGCUAAUUAUGUGCCAGCAGCCGCGGUAAUAC
rnacentral:rRNA from 1 species